GCUGUGAAAUUGUUCUGUCUUUGAAAAAAAAAUAUCUGAGGCACCUCGCCUUGACUGGUAAAGCAAAGAAAACUGGAUAGGAGAAGGCCUGUGUUUAGGGCAUCAAUGGCUAACUGUCAGCAGGGACAACAGCCGUUAUCCCAUAUCCAGUAAGUACAACAGACUUGCUGCAGUUUUACAUCCAGUUCACUGAUCAACUAUCAAACUGAAGGAUAGCUUGUCACUGCAUCUGCAGUGACUCACUUGCCUUGGGGAAAUAUACAUGUCACACAUUUACAUUUUGGCUUUUAAGUGAGGAAACUUCAUGGUUUUCAGAACAGAGUGAGAUUCUUGAAAACUGAAACAAUAAAUCCAAUGCUGAUUGUGAUCACUGAUGAA
rnacentral:lncRNA from 1 species